rnacentral:rRNA from 2 species
CCCUGGCUCAGGAUGAACGCCGGCGGCGUGCUUAACACAUGCAAGUCGAACGAUGAUCCCAGCUUGCUGGGGGAUUAGUGGCGAACGGGUGAGUAACACGUGAGUAACCUGCCCUUAACUCUGGGAUAAGCCUGGGAAACUGGGUCUAAUACCGGAUAUGACUCCUCAUCGCAUGGUGGGGGGUGGAAAGCUUUAUUGUGGUUUUGGAUGGACUCGCGGCCUAUCAGCUUGUUGGUGAGGUAAUGGCUCACCAAGGCGACGACGGGUAGCCGGCCUGAGAGGGUGACCGGCCACACUGGGACUGAGACACGGCCCAGACUCCUACGGGAGGCAGCAGUGGGGAAUAUUGCACAAUGGGCGAAAGCCUGAUGCAGCGACGCCGCGUGAGGGAUGACGGCCUUCGGGUUGUAAACCUCUUUCAGUAGGGAAGAAGCGAAAGUGACGGUACCUGCAGAAGAAGCGCCGGCUAACUA